rnacentral:rRNA from 1 species
CAGUAGCCACGGUAAUACGAAGGGUGCAAGCGUUAAUCGGAAUUACUGGGCGUAAAGCGCGCGUAGGUGGUUUGGUAAGAUGGAUGUGAAAUCCCCGGGCUCAACCUGGGAACUGCAUCCAUAACUGCCUGACUAGAGUACGGUAGAGGGUGGUGGAAUUUCCUGUGUAGCGGUGAAAUGCGUAGAUAUAGGAAGGAACACCAGUGGCGAAGGCGACCACCUGGACUGAUACUGACACUGAGGUGCGAAAGCGUGGGGAGCAAACAGGAUUAGAUACCCCGGUAGUCCCUGUCUCUUAUAC